AACGUAGGAGACAAACGUUAUCCGGAGUUACUGGGCGUAAAGGGCGUGUAGGCGGUCGACUAAGUCUGGUGUGAAAGCUCGCGGCUAAACCGCGAGAGGUCGUUGGAUACUGGUUGACUAGAGGACGGUAGAGGCGUGUGGAAUUCCGGGUGUAGUGGUGAAAUGCGUAGAGAUCCGGAGGAACACCAGUGGCGAAGGCGACACGCUGGGCCGUACCUGACGCUAAAACGCGACAGCAUGGGGAGCGAACGGG
rnacentral:rRNA from 1 species